rnacentral:rRNA from 1 species
GUGAGGCAUGCUGGAGGUAUCAGAAGUGCGAAUGCUGACAUAAGUAACGAUAAAGCGGGUGAAAAGCCCGCUCGCCGGAAGACCAAGGGUUCCUGUCCAACGUUAAUCGGGGCAGGGUGAGUCGACCCCUAAGGCGAGGCCGAAAGGCGUAGUCGAUGGGAAACGGGUUAAUAUUCCCGUACUUGGUGUUACUGCGAAGGGGGGACGGAGAAGGCUAUGUUGGCCGGGCGACGGUUGUCCCGGUUUAAGCGUGUAGGUGUGUGUUCCAGGUAAAUCCGGUUCACUUUAACACUGAGGCGUGAUGACGAGGCACUACGGUGCUGAAGCAACAAAUGCCCUGCUUCCAGGAAAAGCCUCUAAGCAUCAGGUAACAUCAAAUCGUACCCCAAACCGACACAGGUGGUCAGGUAGAGAAUACCAAGGCGCUUGAGAGAACUCGGGUGAAGGAACUAGGCAAAAUGGUGCCGUAACUUCGGGAGAAGGCACGCUGACAC